rnacentral:rRNA from 1 species
CGGGGGGCUCCAGCAGUGAGGAAUAUUGCACAAUGGGGGGAACCCUGAUGCAGCAACGCCGCGUGGAGGAUGACGCAUUUCGGUGUGUAAACUCCUUUUAUAUGUCAAGAAAAUGACGGUAGCAUAUGAAUAAGCACCGGCUAACUCCGUGCCAGCAGCCACGGUAAUACGGAGGGUGCAAGCGUUACUCGGAAUCACUGGGCGUAAAGGACGCGUAGGCGGGUUGGAAAGUCAGGUGUGAAAUCCUACAGCUUAACUGUAGAACUGCACUUGAAACUUCUAAUCUAGAGUAUGGGAGGGGGAGAUGGAAUUAGUGGUGUAGGGGUAAAAUCCGUAGAUAUCACUAGGAAUACCUAAAGCGAAGGCGAUCUCCUGGAACAUUACUGACGCUAAGGCGUGAAAGCGUGGGGAGCAAACAGGAUUAGAUACCCUCGUAGUC